ACGGGUGAGUAACACGUGGGCAAUCUGCCCUGCACUCUGGGACAAGCCCUGGAAACGGGGUCUAAUACCGGAUACUGACCCUCGCAGGCAUCUGCGAGGUUCGAAAGCUCCGGCGGUGCAGGAUGAGCCCGCGGCCUAUCAGCUAGUUGGUGAGGUAAUGGCUCACCAAGGCGACGACGGGUAGCCGGCCUGAGAGGGCGACCGGCCACACUGGGACUGAGACACGGCCCAGACUCCUACGGGAGGCAGCAGUGGGGAAUAUUGCACAAUGGGCGAAAGCCUGAUGCAGCGACGCCGCGUGAGGGAUGACGGCCUUCGGGUUGUAAACCUCUUUCAGCAGGGAAGAAGCGAAAGUGACGGUACCUGCAGAAGAAGCGCCGGCUAACUACGUGCCAGCAGCCGCGGUAAUACGUAGGGCGCAAGCGUUGUCCGGAAUUAUUGGGCGUAAAGAGCUCGUAGGCGGCUUGUCGCGUCGGUUGUGAAAGCCCGGGGCUUAACCCCGGGUCUGCAGUCGAUACGGGCAGGCUAGAGUUCGGUAGGGGAGAUCGGAAUUCCUGGUGUAGCGGUGAAAUGCGCAGAUAUCAGGAGGAACACCGGUGGCGAAGGCGGAUCUCUGGGCCGAUACUGACGCUGAGGAGCGAAAGCGUGGGGAGCGAACAGGAUUAGAUACCCUGGUAGUCCACGCCGUAACGGUGGGCACUAGGUGUGGGCAACAUUCCACGUUGUCCGUGCCGCAGCUAACGCAUUAAGUGCCCCGCCUGGGGAGUACGGCCGCAAGGCUAAACUCAAAGGAUUGACGG
rnacentral:rRNA from 1 species